AAUAUUGGACAAUGGGCGCAAGCCUGAUCUAGCCAUGCCGCGUGAGUGAUGAAGGCCCAAGGGUUGUAAAGCUCUUUUAUCGGUCAAGAGAAUGACGCUAACCGACGACGAAGCCCCGGCCAACUCCGUGCCAUCAGCCGCGGUAAUACGAAGGGGGCUAGCGUUGUUCGGAAUUACUGGGCGUAAAGCGCACGUAGGCGGGUAUUUAAGUCAGGGGUGAAAUCCCGAGGCUCAACCUCGGAACUGCCUUUGAUACUGGGUAUCUAGAGUCCGGAAGAGGUGAGUGGAAUUCCGGGUGUAGAGGUGAAAUUCGUAGAUAUUCGGAGGAACACCAGUGGCGAAGGCGGCUCACUGGUCCGGUACUGACGCUGAGGUGCGAAAGCGUGGGGAGCAAACAGG
rnacentral:rRNA from 1 species